AUUGAACGCUGGCGGCAGGCCUAACACAUGCAAGUCGAACGAGUGGCGGACGGGUGAGUAAUGUCUGGGAAACUGCCUGGUGGAGGGGGAUAACUACUGGAAACGGUAGCUAAUACCGCAUACCAUCAGAUGUGCCCAGAUGGGCUUAGCUUGGUGGUGGGGUAACGGCUCACCAAGGCGAAGAUCCCUAGCUGGUCUGAGAGGAUGACCAGCCACACUGGAACUGAGACAAGGUCCAGCCGCCUCCGGGAGGCAGCAGUGGGGAAUAGUGCAAAAUGGGCGCAACCCUGAUGCAGCCAUGCCGCGUGUAUGAAGAAGGCCUGCGGGUUUUAAAGUACUUUCAGCGGGGAGGCGUUACCCGCAGAAGAAGCACCGGCGAACUCCGUGCCAGCCGCCGCGGUAAUUC
rnacentral:rRNA from 1 species